ensembl:snRNA U6 U6 spliceosomal RNA
GCACUUUGGCAGCACGUAUACUAGAAUUGGAACAAUACAGAGAAGAUUAGCAUGGCCCCUGAGCAAGGAUGACAUGCAAAUUCAUGAAGCAUUCCAUAGUUUU